AAAGUGCCCCGGCCUGAGCCGGUGGACUACUCCUCUGUCCCCCGCCCUUGUGGCGGUGGGUUUAUGAGUUAACCAAUUGUGAAACUUCUACCUUUGCUUCGGCAGCGCUCUCAGUGGAAACGCUGGAGGGGUAAGGCUGCCAGAAGCCCAUAUCAAAACCAGUUGAUGAAAUGUCAUGCUGUCUGAUAACCACUAUUUGAGAAAUCAAAUUAUAUUA
rnacentral:misc_RNA from 1 species